UACGUAGGGUGCGAGCGUUAAUCGGAAUUACUGGGCGUAAAGCGUGCGCAGGCGGUUUUGUAAGCCAGAUGUGAAAGCCCCGGGCUUAACCUGGGAAUGGCAUUUGGGACUGCAAGGCUGGAGUGUGGCAGAGGAGACUGGAAUUCCUGGUGUAGCAGUGAAAUGCGUAGAUAUCAGGAGGAAUACCGAUGGCGAAGGCAGGUCUCUGGGCUGACACUGACGCUCAUGCACGAAAGCGUGGGUAGCAAACAGG
rnacentral:rRNA from 1 species